AAAGCGUGCGCAGGCGGAUUGUUAAGCAAGAUGUGAAAUCCCCGGGCUUAACCUGGGAAUGGCAUUUUGAACUGGCAGUCUAGAGUGCGUCAGAGGGGGGUGGAAUUCCACGUGUAGCAGUGAAAUGCGUAGAGAUGUGGAGGAACACCAAUGGCGAAGGCAGCCCCCUGGGAUGACACUGACGCUCAUGUACGAAAGCGUGGGUAGCAAACAGGAUUAGAUACCCUGGUAGUCCACGCCCUAAACGAUGUCAACUGGUUGUUGGGGGAGUGAAAUCCCUUAGUAACGAAGCUAACGCGUGAAGUUGACCGCCUGGGGAGUACGGUCGCAAGAUUAAAACUCAAAGGAAUUGACGGGGACCCGCACAAGCGGUGGAUGAUGUGGAUUAAUUCGAUGCAACGCGAAAAACCUUACCUACCCUUGACAUGUCCAGAAUCCUGCAGAGAUGCGGGAGUGCCCGAAAGGGAAUUGGAACACAGGUGCUGCAUGGCUGUCGUCAGCUCGUGUCGUGAGAUGUUGGGUUAAGUCCCGCAACGAGCGCAACCCUUAUCAUUAGUUGCUACGCAAGGGCACUCUAAUGAGACUGCCGGUGACAAACCGGAGGAAGGUGGGGAUGACGUCAAGUCCUCAUGGCCCUUAUGGGUAGGGCUUCACACGUCAUACAAUGGUCGGUACAGAGGGUUGCCAAGCCGCGAGGUGGAGCCAAUCCCAGAAAGCCGAUCGUAGUCCGGAUUGUUCUCUGCAACUCGAGAGCAUGAAGUCGGAAUCGC
rnacentral:rRNA from 1 species